CACGUAGGGUGCGAGCGUUGUCCGGAAUUAUUGGGCGUAAAGAGCUCGUAGGCGGUGUGUCGCGUCGGCCGUGAAAACCUGUGGCUCAACCCCGAACUUGCAGUGGGUACGGGCAGACUAGAGUGUGGUAGGGGAGACUGGAAUUCCUGGUGUAGCGGUGAAAUGCGCAGAUAUCAGGAGGAACACCGGUGGCGAAGGCAGCCCCCUGGGUCAAGAUUGACGCUCAUGCACGAAAGCGUGGGGAGCAAACAGG
rnacentral:rRNA from 1 species